rnacentral:rRNA from 1 species
UGCCUAAUACAUGCAAGUCGAGCGGAAUGAUGAAGAAGCUUGCUUCUUCUGAUUUUAGCGGCGGACGGGUGAGUAACACGUGGGCAACCUACCUUGUAGAUUGGGAUAACUCCGGGAAACCGGGGCUAAUACCGGAUAAUCCAUUUUGCUUCAUGGCGAGAUGUUGAAAGACGGUUUCGGCUGUCACUACAAGAUGGGCCCGCGGCGCAUUAGCUAGUUGGUAGGGUAAUGGCCUACCAAGGCGACGAUGCGUAGCCGACCUGAGAGGGUGAUCGGCCACACUGGGACUGAGACACGGCCCAGACUCCUACGGGAGGCAGCAGUAGGGAAUCUUCCACAAUGGACGAAAGUCUGAUGGAGCAACGCCGCGUGAGUGAAGAAGGUUUUCGGAUCGUAAAACUCUGUUGUAAGGGAAGAACACGUACGAGAGUAACUGCUCGUACCUUGACGGUACCUUAUUAGAAAGCCACGGCUAACUACGUG